rnacentral:rRNA from 1 species
AUUGAACGCUGGCGGCAGGCCUAACACAUGCAAGUCGAGCGGAUGAAGGGAGCUUGCUCCUGGAUUCAGCGGCGGACGGGUGAGUAAUGCCUAGGAAUCUGCCUGGUAGUGGGGGAUAACGUCCGGAAACGGGCGCUAAUACCGCAUACGUUCUGAGGGAGAAAGUGGGGGAUCUUCGGACCUCACGCUAUCAGAUGAGCCUAGGUCGGAUUAGCUAGUUGGUGGGGUAAAGGCCUACCAAGGCGACGAUCCGUAACUGGUCUGAGAGGAUGAUCAGUCACACUGGAACUGAGACACGGUCCAGACUCCUACGGGAGGCAGCAGUGGGGAAUAUUGGACAAUGGGCGAAAGCCUGAUCCAGCCAUGCCGCGUGUGGGAAGAAGGUCUUCGGAUUGGAAAGCCCUUUAAGUUGGGAGGAAGGGCAGUAAGUUAAUACCUUGCUGUUUUGACGUUACCAACAGAAUAAGCACCGGCUAACUUCGUG